rnacentral:rRNA from 1 species
ACGUAGGGACCAAGCGUUGUUCGGAUUUACUGGGCGUAAAGGGCGCGUAGGCGGCUUAACAAGUCACUUGUGAAAUCUCCGGGCUUAACCUGGGAACUGCGCUUGUGACUGCACAACUAGAGUACGGCAGAGGGGGGUGGAAUUCCUGGUGUAGCAGUGAAAUGCGUAGAGAUCAGGAGGAACAUCGAUGGCGAAGGCAGCCCCCUGGGCCAGUACUGACGCUCAUGCACGAAAGCGUGGGGAGCAAACAGGA